rnacentral:rRNA from 1 species
CCUACGGGAGGCAGCAGUGAGGAAUAUUGGUCAAUGGCCGGAAGGCUGACCCAGCCAAGUCGCGUGAGGGAAGACGGCCCUAGGGGUUGUAAACCUCUUUUAUAAGGGCAGAAUAGAUGCUACGUGUAGCAUGAUGCCUGUACCUUAUGCAUAAGCAUAGGCUAACUCCGUUCCAGCAGCCACGGUAAUACGGAGGAUGCGAGCGUUAUCGGGAUUUAUUGGGUUUAAAGGGUGAGUAGGCGUUUUGUUAAGUUGGGGGUUAAACGUCGGGGCUUCACCUUGAUUUGCCAUUAAUACUGUAAGACUCGAGUUCAGACGAGGUAGGCGGAAUAAGUUAAGUAGCGGUGAAAUGCUUAGAUAU